GACGAACGCUGGCGGCGUGCCUAAUACAUGCAAGUCGAGCGGACGGAUGGGAGCUUGCUCCCUGAAGUCAGCGGCGGACGGGUGAGUAACACGUGGGCAACCUGCCUGUAAGACUGGGAUAACUUCGGGAAACCGGAGCUAAUACCGGAUAAUGCAUGUCCCCUCAUGGGGACCUGCUGAAAGAUGGUUUCGGCUAUCACUUACAGAUGGGCCCGCGGCGCAUUAGCUAGUUGGUGAGGUAACGGCUCACCAAGGCAACGAUGCGUAGCCGACCUGAGAGGGUGAUCGGCCACACUGGGACUGAGACACGGCCCAGACUCC
rnacentral:rRNA from 2 species